rnacentral:lncRNA from 1 species
UCUAGUGAGAUUACUAAGUUUAUUACCUAGGUUUCUUCAAGAAAGAGUGGGCUCAUAAAUGUUUUGUAGUUACAUUUGAAAUCACAGAAUGUCUCCCACAUGAGAUUCCUAAGCAGUUUUUCCAAUCUAUAAUGUUUGAUAAUAAAAUGCAAAUGAUGACAACAACCACCAUAAUAAAAGAGCCCAGUGCCAUCAACUAGCCAUAGUUAAUAAAAAAAAUUACAAGUGUUUUCUAUGGAAGGCUGCUUAUUAAGAAUUGCAGUCAUACUUGAUAUGGUCAUCAGCCAUUUUUCAAGAUGCCACGUUUGAAGCGGGGCUAUUAAUCCCAUUUCCUGUGCAUUUCAAUCUCAUUUCACAAUGUAAAAUUGCUAGGAGACACACAUUUAUCAAAUAUGUUCCAUAAUAUUACUUGUUUGGCAUUACUUCCUUUAGUAGAUAGGAUUUUU